UUUAGCUUCUUAUCCUCAGUAAUUUCGAUAAAUUCCUCACGAAUGCUUUUGUUUAUAUUUCCAAUAAUCAUGACAACAAAACAGAACAAGAAACGUCUCAUUGAGAAAAUUAUACAAAUAUAUUAGUUUAAAUUAAAAUUAAUAAAUAUCUCUUUUGUUUUCUUAUCGGACAGAAAGUUUACAUGAAUCCGCGGAAUACUCAGAAAAGACAACACAUUCAUAUGCCUUUUUACCGAAGUUUAAUGAAAUUUUACAGGAAUCGGCGGAAUAUUCAG